rnacentral:rRNA from 1 species
CCUACGGGUGGCAGCAGUAGGGAAUAUUGCUCAAUGGGGGAAACCCUGAAGCAGCAACGCCGCGUGGAGGAUGAAGGUUUUCGGAUUGUAAACUCCUUUUGUUAGAGAAGAUAAUGACGGUAUCUAACGAAUAAGCACCGGCUAACUCCGUGCCAGCAGCUGCGGUAAUACGGCGGGUGCAAGCGUUAUUCGGAAUCACUGGGCGUAAAGAGCGCGUAGGCGGGAUAGCAAGUCAGAUGUGAAAUCCUAUGGCUUAACCAUAGAACUGCAUUUGAAACUGUUAUUCUAGAGUAUGGGAGAGGUAGGUGGAAUGCGUGGUGUAGGGGUGAAAUCCGUAGAGAUCAAGAGGAAUACUGAGUGCGAAGGCGACCUGCGAGAACAUAACUGACGCUGAUGCGCGAAAGCGUGGGGAGCGAACAGGAUUAGAUACCCCUGUAGUC